AUGCUCCUAUGGAGGUGUUGUGCACGCCACCGCUUGGCCAAGAGGAUCAAUGAGCUCAAGGUCCGCGUCCAUGACGUCGGCCAGAGGAGGGAGCGCUACGGCGUUAUCAUCCCCACGGUUGAGGAGCCCCCGCUGACGCUGGCCGAGGUCCGACCUAGCCAGGAUGAGAUCGACGAGGCCAGAGAAGAAUUUGCACGUGCGCUAGCACGUGACAAGAAGAAGCAGGAGCUCCCUGUUUUUAAAGAGGCCAUCCUCCUCGUUAAUAAGGAUCUUCAAUCGGCAGCCACCGAUGUACGUAGGUGCCUCCAUAAAAAUUUGUCACAAGAUCGGAGUGCGGCCGUCUGCAUGGAGAUGCUUCUCCGUGCUCUUUGGGACCAUAGCGAUGUCCACCGGGCGGUCGAGAAGACGAAGGGAGAACUGAAGAAAUUAGUCAAGGAAGCGGGCAUGGAUAUCAAAGAUUUUCCGACUCAAGUGAUGAUCUUCUGCUACAGCAAGUUGUCCAGGAGUUACAAGAGCUGCUUGCAGUAUCUCUAUGCCUUCCACGAUGAAGCCAGCAUCAGUAGGACGAGCUUGGUCCGGCGAUGGCUUGCUGAAGGCCGUGUGGAGAAGCAAGUUGAUGCUUCCCUCAAGGAGGUGGAGAAGCAAGUUGCUGCUUCCCUUGAGGAGGUAGCGGAGAUCUGCUUCAAAGAUCUCCUCUUCCGGGGGUUCCUUCUUCCUGCCGACGACCCAACCACUGCCACCUGCAAGGUCAAGAGCUGCACAAUUGAUGACAUCAUCUGGAAGUUCCUCCAUCGUAUGUCCACAACUGAGAAUUUUGUGGACAACCUGCCGACUCACCUCGAAUACCAGCUUCGCAUCCGACGCUAUGUGAAACGGCAAGCAGAGCAACUACAGAAGAAUCAUCCACGACCACGACACCCUUGGAGCAUCUGCGGCCGCGGGAUGCCACCGCCGGAUGACAACACGGCGGUGGAUCCCAAUCCCAUGGUUGACAUGCUCAACUUCCUCGAGUGUCUUCACCAAGCCUACCGGCUGAACGUGCUGGAUCUUGGGGGCUGCAAGGGUCUACAAAAGAGACACCUCAAGAGCAUCUGCAAGGUGGUCUCGCUCAAGUACCUUAGCCUCCGGAACACGGAUGUCUCCCACCUGCCCUGGGAGAUCAACAAUCUCAUAAUGCUGGAGACACUCGACAUCCGGGAAACUAAGGUACGGGGUCGGCACAUGAACUACAUUUACCUCCGAAAGCUAAAACACCUGCUUACUAGCCUGAAGAUGACGACGGAGGAGGAGACACUCUGCUGGGCGGGUAUGCCUGGUAGGAUCGGGAAGAUGGAAGACAUGGAGAUACUGUCUCGUGUCCAGGUCUGGUACGGCAAGAAGGAAUUCGAAGAAGUUGGCCGGCUGCUGAAGCUUAGGAAGCUGGGCGUGGUUCUCGUCGGUAGCCAAAGCCAAGCUCAAUACAGCAUGAUCAAUCUGCUCCGAGCAAUCACCAAGCUGAGAGAGUGCUUACGCUCUCUUUCAAUAUGGGUUACUCCUCCAUCCACCAAUGUCGAGCCUAGUGUCACUCUGAAUAUGGAGAUGACAUCAGAGCAAAGUGCACCCAAGUUACUCAAGAGCUUGAAUAUCAAGGGCGUGCGCUUUCCCAACUCCAGGCUGCCUCGCUGGAUCUGCGAGCUGCAUCUACUCUCUGAGAUUACACUGUGGAACACUUUUCUAUCUAAAGACUCUCUGCAGGACCUUGGCAACAAUCUCCAUCACUUGCACUUCCUUCGGCUCCGUCGCAACUCGUACAACGAGCACAAGCUCACCUUCAGCAAGGAUGGAUUCCAAGACCUCAGGUUCCUCAUCAUCGAGGGCGACAUCAUCACCACCGUCGACUUUGAAGAAGACAUCACAACACAUUUACCUCAGCUCAAGAAGAUCCUUUGGCGCAACAUGGCCGUCAAGAAGGAAGCACCUUGCCCUCAGCUCAAGAAGAUCGUUUGGCGCAACAUGGCCAUCAAUCAGGCGGGCACGCUUUCUGGAAUCUGCCACCUUGACAUGUUGAAAGAGGUGGAGCUCAAGGGCCACUUCACCGACUCGAGCUUCAUUCCACACAGCAACGGGUGCAAACCGAGGCAUGAGCCAUGA
rnacentral:rRNA from 1 species